GCCGUCUUAGCUCAGUGAUAGAGCGCAUGACUUUUAAUCACGUGGUCGUGGGUUCGAUCCCCACAGGCGGCG
rnacentral:tRNA from 1 species